UCGAAAGCACGCCAAUCGAAAAGACCUGCGAACUUGUCUCUACAUACAAUUGGGAGUGAUGUGAUGAUUCUGGCCUUGUUGCAUAUGGCCUUCCAUUCUCUCCUCGUGAUUAGAUGUGCAUGGACCGGAUCCUUGGGGUGAUGUGCAUGUUUAGUCGUCGAGCAACGAACCCCAGCGCAAGAUGCGCCAAGGAAAAAUUGAACAAGAGUGCAUGUCCUUAACCUGUUUGCGGGUGGUGUUGGCGUGUGCAAUCUUUUGUACAACUGAACGACUCUCGGCAACGGAUAUCUCGGCUCUUGCAUCGAUGAAGAACGUAGCGAAAUGCGAUACUUGGUGUGAAUUGCAGAAUCCCGUGAACCAUCGAGUCUUUGAACGCAAGUUGCGCCUGAAGCUAGUAGGCUGAAGGCACGUCUGCCUGGGCGUCAUGCAUUUCGACACCCGCUCCACUGUGCCUAAGCAUGCAUGUCGGGAUGUGGGAGGAUGUUGGCCCCCCGUUUGCGCUUGGUGGUCGGUUGGCCUAAAAGGGAGUUCCGGACGACGGACAUCACGACAAGUGGUGGUUGCAAAAAUUGUCGCUUCAUGUUUGUGGAUGCCAUUGUUAGUCGCUGGUUGGCUCGUUGACCCUGGAGGUGCUAGUGCAUGCGGCACCUUG
rnacentral:rRNA from 1 species